GAUCAUGGCCUCAGGAUGAACGCUAGCUACAGGCUUAACACAUGCAAGUCGAGGGGCAUCAGUUUGGUUUGCUUGCAAACCAAAGCUGGCGACCGGCGCACGGGUGGGUAACACGUAUCCAACCUGCCUCAUACUCGGGGAUAGCCUUUCGAAAGAAAGAUUAAUAUCCGAUAGCAUAUAUUUCCCGCAUGGGUUUUAUAUUAAAGAAAUUCGGUAUGAGAUGGGGAUGCGUUCCAUUAGUUUG
rnacentral:rRNA from 1 species